rnacentral:rRNA from 1 species
AUUGAACGCUGGCGGCAGGCUUAACACAUGCAAGUCGAGCGGUAACAGAGAGAAGCUUGCUUCUCUGCUGACGAGCGGCGGACGGGUGAGUAAUGCCUAGGAAUCUGCCUAGUAGUGGGGGAUAACUUGCCGAAAGGUAAGCUAAUACCGCAUACGUCCUACGGGAGAAAGGAGGGGACCUUCGGGCCUUUCGCUAUUAGAUGAGCCUAGGUCGGAUUAGUUAGUUGGUGAGGUAAUGGCUCACCAAGACCGCGAUCCGUAACUGGUCUGAGAGUAUGAUCAGUCACACUGGAACUGAGACACGGUCCAGACUCCUACGGGAGGCAGCAGUGGGGAAUAUUGGACAAUGGGGGGAACCCUGAUCCAGCCAUGCCGCGUGUGUGAAGAAGGUCUUAGGAUUGUAAAGCACUUUAAGUUGGGAGGAAGAGCAGUUAACUAAUAUUUGACUGUUUUGACGUUACCGACAGAAUAAGCACCGGCUAACUUCGUG